GUGCUCGCUUUGGCAGCACAUAUACUGAAAUUGGAACAAUACAGAGAAGAUUAGCAUAUGCAAGGAUGACAGCCAAAUUUGUGAAGCCUUCUAUAUUUAA
ensembl:snRNA U6 U6 spliceosomal RNA